rnacentral:lncRNA from 1 species
GGUUACUGUGCAUAAAUUAGGGCACUCGCCGGAAUUUUGAUCGGCCGUUUGGACGGCCAAACGAUCUCUGUUUCGGCCCAAUUCGGAGGAAGUACUCUAUUCGACUAGACGAACAACCCUGCGGUGGCUGAUUUUGUUUUUAACGGCCAAAUUUUCAGAUCUGAGGUAGGGGACCCUAACCCUAAAACUUAAAUUUUUAUGUUUUUUCCUUGAGAAAAAAUUGUAGAUAUUGUCAUUUUGAGUUAAUUAGGAAUUAUAGGUGUUGUAUGAAUUUUUCUAGAAUAUUUGGAAUUUGUUUGGAAUUUUUUGAAUUUCGGGAAAUUGAUUUUGAUUGAUAAUUAAUUGUUUUGAAAUGUAAAAAAAUUAUUAGAUGGGUUGGAAAAUUCCAAAAUUUGGGUUAAAUUUCAAAUAUAAUGAUUUGUGAAAUUUUAGGCAUUGGUUAGAAUAUUUUUGAAAAUUUUAGGGUAAAUAGUUAGUUAAUUUUGGAUAUUAGAAAUUGUUAUAAUGGUUGAAAAAUUUUGUAAGUGUGGUAAAAUCUCAAGAUUUUGAUAUGCAAUUUUUUUUGAAUAUUUAUUUGGGAUAUUAUCGGAAAUUGUAAUGUGUGAAAUUAUUUUUUUGGACUAUUGGGGAAUGUUGAGAUUGUUGAAUUAUUGAGGAACAUUAGAAUUGUGGCAUUCAUUUGCAUCAUGGUUAUGUGAAAAAGAUAAAUAAAUGAAUGAAAUAGAGAUGAGAAGUGGAAGCCCGUGUGGGGCAAAUUAAGAAGGGAGAGAGAUCCCUAGGGUGAAAGACCCAAAAGUUUACCCCGGGAAGACUCCGAAUGGGGAGUGUAUUUGGGUGCGGACGCGUAUCCUUCGGUGAAAGCCCGAGAACAAUAGUGCAUUGUAUGACUGUGUGUCACACGUUCAUGUGCAUUCAUGUAAUUGUUGAAUAUUGUGAAAUUGUGUAUAAUAUCAUAUAUUAAACUAUGUGAUUGAUUGAUAUUGUUGAAUUGUUCCUUUUGUGUUGAAGUGUCCUUUCCGUAUUCUUUGAAACAUAGUAAUCCCCUUAACCCCUUGGGUGCUAGGCACCCUACUGAGCAUUGUGGAAAUGCUCACCCCUUCCUUGUUAUACAUUUUUAGAUGCAGAUAUCUCUCCUGAGGAUCCACAGGUGGGGCAGGGAGAACUUCAGGACACUCUUGGAGCGGCCUAGUGGAGCUUGACAUUUUUUUUAUUAUUGUGUUUCUUUUUGGAUUUUGGGAUUUGUUUUAGUAAUUAUGACUCAUGGGCUUGUUAUGAAGCUUUAUUUUGAUUAAGUUGUUAAUUGUGAACUUUAUUUUGGACUAUAAUG